rnacentral:rRNA from 1 species
UACGUAGGCAGCGAGCGUUGUUCGGAGUUACUGGGCGUAAAGAGUGCGUAGGCGGUGCUCUAAGUUUGGUGUGAAAUCUCCCGGCUCAACUGGGAGGGUGCGCCGAAAACUGGAGUGCUCGAGUAUGGGAGAGGUAAGCGGAAUUCCUGGUGUAGCGGUGAAAUGCGUAGAUAUCAGGAGGAACACCGGUGGUGUAGACGGCUUUCUGGACCGUAACUGACGCUGAGACACGAAAGCGUGGGUAGCAAACAGG